GACGAACGCUGGCGGCGUGCCUAAUACAUGCCAGUAGAACGCACAGUUUAUACCGUAGCUUGCUACACCAUAGACUGUGAGUUGCGAACGGGUGAGUAACGCGUAGGUAACCUGCCUGGUAGCGGGGGAUAACUAUUGGAAACGAUAGCUAAUACCGCAUAAUAUUGAUUAUUGCAUGAUAAUUGAUUGAAAGAUGCUAUUGCAUCACUACCAGAUGGACCUGCGUUGUAUUAGCUAGUAGGUGAGGUAACGGCUCACCUAGGCGACGAUACAUAGCCGACCUGCGAGGGUGGUCGGCCACACUGGGACUGAGACACGGCCCAGACUCCUACGGGAGGCAGCAGUAGGGAAUCUUCGGCAAUGGACGAAAGUCUGACCGAGCAACGCCGCGUGAGUGCAGAAGGUUUUCGGAUCGUAAAGCUCUGUUGUAAGAGAAGAACGGGUGUGAGAGUGGAAAGUUCACACUGUGACGGUAUCUUACCAGAAAGGGACGGCUAACUACGUG
rnacentral:rRNA from 1 species